AAAAUAUUAGGAUUGAUUGAAUGCAGUCGGAGAAGAGAUGCCAAUCCCUUACUUAUUAAUAGGGAAGCAUUUUGAAAAAAUAACCUUUAUUUUAUAUUUUAUUUACUGAGAUGCCAUUAUGCUGAGGUGGCAAACCCACAUACUUCCUCAGCCUAACUAAUCAAAUGACCUUUGAUUACUAGAAUUAUUAUCAAGACUGCCAUUAUAUAUUGCAGUCGAUAUUAAUCAUACAACAAAGUUUAAAAAUAAAAGGGAUAAGAAUACAAACUAAAUAAUAAAGAAAAACAGAAAAGUAAUAUCAUUUGUUUUCUUUCAUACGAAAUCUGGGUUUUCUACCUGAGAAAUCUUACAGCUAUUGGUUUUCUUUCAUACGAAAUCUGGGUUUUCUCUUUGAGAAAUCUUACAGCUGCUUCUACACAAUUAGAGACCAUCUCCGGCUACAAAGAAGAGAUCAGAAGGGCUUCCGCAGACGCAGAGCUCGACGUCCACCGUACGGCAAAGAAUUAGUCUCAAUUAAGCAACCCUUGCGUCAGACAAUAUGGUAUGAGAGCAACACCUAGAGAUAUCCCGUUUAUAGCUGUGAAAUCGACUACUAAGUCUCCGUUGUUUUAUAAGUCGAACGCCGUAGAAGAUGACGGAGAACGAACUCAACCCUCAAAACAGCACAAGCUACGGAGGAACCGAAUACAAAGGAGAGAUUUUUUGAUGUGGGUUUAGAUAUAGAGAUCUUUUUCUGGUUUGGGGUAUUUGCUGAUAGUAUGUUUCGGGAGAUUGAAUGGCUUUCAGUUGAUAGAAGAUGAGUGGACCACAGAAGAAAGACUUCAUGUGUUUGAACAUUUUCAUAUAACUUUUUUUUAGUGAAUAUAAAUUGUUUAUUAGGUGAACUUUCGUGUGAUUCAGACCACAAGUGUUAAGGUAUUUUCGUUGUGAGUUUAUUUAUGAACUGAAUUGAUAUAUUUUUCAAAAAAACACUUUGUCUAAUUAGUUAUUAAGGUAACAAAAUAAUUGAGAAAAA
rnacentral:lncRNA from 1 species